UUCUGUUUUCUUACAGAAAUCAGCAGUUAUAGCCAGUCCUUUCUUAGUCCAUGAGUCUGCUUCAUCGAAGAUCAGCAGCAAACAAGGAGCUGGAGCUUGGUGAUGCAUCAAUACUCUUUGGUAGAGGGAAGGCUGAAUGAAGAUCUUGUAAAACAACUAUUCCAUAGCAUUAUGCCAUAGCAGUUAAAAUAAGAUACAAUAGCAUUCAUCCUGUAGUGUGGAUUCAUCUUAGGAUGAGAAAGGAAGAAAAUUACUGGUAUCUCUUAUUUGUUGGCCAUGGAAAUAGAAGGAAAUAUUAGCUAUAAUUUUGUAAUUUCCCUUCUGAUACCUGGAAGGGCAUAGGUGUGAGCCUCUUAACGUCACAUUGGGGCCUAGAGGUUUGUCUCCUUUGGAGAAAGUUUUUUUUUUUUGGCAAGCCUAAUAUGGGGGCAGAUGUUAGAAAUGAGGUGUAGAUCUGUAGAACUGCAAUCUUCAAAAUAGCCUUCUUUGGAUCCCACUGAAAUCAACCACAUCUGAGAGGCCUUGCAUGAAUGCACCACAAACGUAACAGAAAGCAACGGCUGGAAGCUAAGCAGAGCUGGUGAGAAAAUGGGAUUGCCAUACAUGUCACUCAGGAUUCCAGUGAAGAAAACAACGUUUUCUGCAAAAUAAACCUAUUAAGAGGCUUAUGUUUUGUUUGCAGAAGUUCACUUCAGAAGCUUCUCAGAGCCUCUGCUUUAUGGGGAUAUGCAGGUUGUACAAAUCUAUUGUUCUUGUUCUCUUAUUUUGUUACAAAUGAAUAAAUACAUGAAGGACUUUAGAACUGUAUUUCUUCCCACCUUCCAUCAGAAAUUGUGGAUAUCAUUUCUGUGUGUUGUUGGAAGACGUUCAUGGCCGAAAUCACUGGGCUGCUGUGAUUUUUCUGGGCUGUAUGGCCAUGUUCCAGAAGCAUUCUCUCCUGACGUUUCACCCACGCCUAUGGCAGGCAUCCUCAGAGGUUGUGAGGUAUAUUGGAAUCCAGGCAAAUAAGGUAUGUAUAUCUGUGGAAGGUCCA
rnacentral:lncRNA from 11 species